rnacentral:tRNA from 1 species
AUCAAAACCGAAAGUGAUAACCACUACACUAUACAACC